GAUCCUGGCUCAGAAUCAACGCUGGCGGCGUGCCUAACACAUGCAAGUCGCACGAGAAAGGGUAGCAAUACCUGAGUAAAGUGGCGCACGGGUGAGUAACACGUGAAUUAUCUACCUCCGAGUGGGGAAUAACUGAGAGAAAUCUUAGCUAAUACCGCAUAACACUUACGAGUCAAAGCAGUAAUGCGCUUGGAGAGGAGUUCGCGGCAGAUUAGUUAGUUGGCGGGGUAAUGGCCCACCAAGACGAUGAUCUGUAUCCGGCCUGAGAGGGCGCACGGACACACUGGAACUGAAACACGGUCCAGACUCCUACGGGAGGCAGCAGUGGGGAAUUUUGCGCAAUGGGGGAAACCCUGACGCAGCGACGCCGCGUGGAGGAUGAAAUCCCUUGGGAUGUAAACUCCUUUCGAUAGGGAAGAUUAUGACGGUACCUAUAGAAGAAGCCCCGGCUAACUUCGUGCCAGCAGCCGCGGUAAUACGAGGGGGGCAAGCGUUGUUCGGAUUUAUUGGGCGUAAAGGGUGCGUAGGCGGUUUGGCAAGUCUUGUGUGAAAUCUUUGGGCUCAACCCAAAGCCUGCACAAGAAACUGCCGGGCUUGAGUAUGGGAGAGGUGAGUGGAAUUUCCGGUGUAGCGGUGAAAUGCGUAGAUAUCGGAAGGAACACCUGUGGCGAAAGCGGCUCACUGGACCAU
rnacentral:rRNA from 1 species